GCGUGCUUACACAUGCAAGUCGAACGCUCUCUGGCAUUAGUCAGAGGGAGUGGCGGACGGGUGAGUAACACGUGGGUAACCUACCUCAAGGUGAGGAAUACCAACGAGAAAUCGUUGACAAUCCCACAUGAGCUUCUUAGGGAGCAAAGCUUCUCGUAUUGAGAGGCGCCUUGAGAUGGGCCUGCGCCUGAUUAUGCUAGUUGGUGGGGUAAAAGCCUACCAAGGCGACGAUCAGUAGCUGGUCUGAGAGGACGAUCAGCCACACUGGGAUUGAGAACGGCCCAGACUCCUACGGGAGGCAGCAGUGAGGAAUUUUCCGCAAUGGACGCAAGUCUGACGGAGCAACGCCGCGUGCAGGAGGAAGGUCUUCGGAUCGUAAACUGCUUUUAUCGAGGAAGAGAACGGACGGUACUCGAUGAAUAAGCCCCGGCUAACUACGUGCCAGCAGCCGCGGUAAUACGUAGGGGGCGAGCGUUGUCCGGAUUUAUUGGGCGUAAAGGGCCCGCAGGCGGUCCGCCAAGUUUGGGGUGAAAGCUC
rnacentral:rRNA from 1 species